rnacentral:tRNA from 1 species
ACCUGGGUGGCUCAGUCGGUUGAGCGUCUGACUUCAGCUCAGGUCACGAUCUCACGGUUCGUGAGUUCGAGCCUCGCGUCAGGCU